rnacentral:rRNA from 1 species
GAUGAACGCUGGCGGCGUGCCUAAUACAUGCAAGUCGAGCGAACAGAUGAUGAGCUUGCGCCUCUAACGUUAGCGGCGGGCGGGUGGGUAACACGUGGAUAAGAUACUUCUUAUUCGUGGAUAACUACGUGAAACCGGAUCUGAUACUGGAUAAUAUGUUGUACGGGUGGGUGCAAUAGAGAUUGGCGGUUUUGCUGUCUGAUAGAGAUGGUGCCGCGUCGCAUUAGCUAGUUGGUAAGGUAACGGCUCACCAAGGCGACGAUGCGUAGCCGAGCUGAGAGGGUGAUCGGCCACACUGGAACUGAGACACGGUCCAGACUCCUACGGGAGGCAGCAGUAGGGAAUAUUCGACAAUGGGCGCAAGCCUGAUGCAGCCAUGCCGCGUGAGUGAAGAAGGUCUUCGGAUCGUAAAGCCCUGUUAUUGGGAAAGAAAAACUGUAUAUGUAAACCCCGCCGUCUUGACGGUACCUAAUCAGAAAGCACCGGCUAACUACGUG